AUUGAACGCUGGCGGCAGGCCUAACACAUGCAAGUCGAACGAGUGGCGGACGGGUGAGUAAUGUCUGGGAAACUGCCCGAUGGAGGGGGAUAACUACUGGAAACGGUAGCUAAUACCGCAUACCAUCGGAUGUGCCCAGAUGGGAUUAGCUUGUAGGUGAGGUAAAGGCUCACCUAGGCGACGAUCCCUAGCUGGGCUGAGAGGAUGACCAGCGAAACUGGAACUGAUACAGGGUCGGGACGCCUCCGGCAGGCAGCAUUGGGGAAUAUGGCAAAAUGGGCGCUGGCCUGAUGAAGCCAUGCGGGGGGUAGGAAGAAGGCGUGCGGGUUGUAUAGUACUGUCCGCGUGUAGGCGUUACCCGUAGAAGUAGCACCGGCUAACUCCGUGCCAGCAUCCGCGCUAAUUC
rnacentral:rRNA from 1 species